CCUACAGGAGGCAGCAGUGAGGAAUAUUGGUCAAUGGGAGAGAUCCUGAACCAGCCAAGCCGCGUGAGGGAAGACGGCCCUAUGGGUUGUCAACCUCUUUUGUCGGAGAACAAAACCCGGGACGUGUCCCGGACUGCGUGUAUCCGAAGAAAAAGCAUCGGCUAACUCCGUGUCAGCAGCCGCGGUAAGACGGAUGAUGCGAGCGUAAUCCGGAUUUAGUGGGUUUAAAGGGUGCGUAGGCGGUCCGUUAAGUCAGCGGUAAAAUUCCGGGGCUCAACCCCGUCGAGCCGUUGAAACUGGCAGACUUGAGUUGGCGAGAAGUACGCGGAAUGCGCGGUGUAGCGGUGAAAUGCAUAGAUAUCGCGCAGAACUCCGAUUGCGAAGGCAGCGUACCGGCGCCAGACUGACGCUGAGGCACGAAAGCGUGGGGAUCGAACAGGAUUAGAUACCCCUGUAGUC
rnacentral:rRNA from 1 species